UCAUGGCUCAGGACGAACGCUGGCGGCGUGCCUAAUACAUGCUAGUCGAGCGAGCUUGCCUAGAUGAUUUUAGUGCUUGCACUAAAUGAAACUAGAUACAAGCGAGCGGCGGACGGGUGAGUAACACGUGGGUAACCUGCCCAAGAGACUGGGAUAACACCUGGAAACAGAUGCUAAUACCGGAUAACAACACUAGACGCAUGUCUAGAGUUUGAAAGAUGGUUCUGCUAUCACUCUUGGAUGGACCUGCGGUGCAUUAGCUAGUUGGUAAGGUAACGGCUUACCAAGGCAAUGAUGCAUAGCCGAGUUGAGAGACUGAUCGGCCACAUUGGGACUGAGACACGGCCCAAACUCCUACGGGAGGCAGCAGUAGGGAAUCUUCCACAAUGGACGAAAGUCUGAUGGAGCAACGCCGCGUGAGUGAAGAAGGGUUUCGGCUCGUAAAGCUCUGUUGGUAGUGAAGAAAGAUAGAGGUAGUAACUGGCCUUUAUUUGACGGUAAUUACUUAGAAAGUCACGGCUAACUACGUGCCAGCAGCCGCGGUAAUACGUAGGUGGCAAGCGUUGUCCGGAUUUAUUGGGCGUAAAGCGAGUGCAGGCGGUUCAAUAAGUCUGAUGUGAAAGCCUUCGGCUCAACCGGAGAAUUGCAUCAGAAACUGUUGAACUUGAGUGCAGAAGAGGAGAGUGGAACUCCAUGUGUAGCGGUGGAAUGCGUAGAUAUAUGGAAGAACACCAGUGGCGAAGGCGGCUCUCUGGUCUGCAACUGACGCUGAGGCUCGAAAGCAUGGGUAGCGAACAGGAUUAGAUACCCUGGUAGUCCAUGCCGUAAACGAUGAGUGCUAAGUGUUGGGAGGUUUCCGCCUCUCAGUGCUGCAGCUAACGCAUUAAGCACUCCGCCUGGGGAGUACGACCGCAAGGUUGCAACUCAAAGGAAUUGACGGA
rnacentral:rRNA from 1 species